rnacentral:rRNA from 1 species
UUAGAGUUUGAUCCUGGCUCAGGAUGAACGCUAGCGGCAGGCCUAAUACAUGCAAGUCGAACGGUAGAUUCAACUUCGGUUGGAUUGAGAGUGGCGCACGGGUGCGUAACGCGUAUGCAACCUACCUUGUACAGGGGGAUAGCCCGGAGAAAUUCGGAUUAAUAUUCCAUGGUAUCCUUUAGUGGCAUCACUUUAAGGAUUAAAGAUUUAUCGGUACAAGAUGGGCAUGCGUGACAUUAGUUAGUUGGUAGGGUAACGGCCUACCAAGACGAUGAUGUCUAGGGGUUCUGAGAGGAUGAUCCCCCACACUGGUACUGAGAUACGGACCAGACUCCUACGGGAGGCAGCAGUGAGGAAUUUUGGACAAUGGGGGAAACCCUGAUCCAGCGACGCCGCGUGUGGGAUGAAGGGGCUUUGCUCUGUAAACCACUGUCAGAUGGGAAGAAAAGUUUGUUUUACGGACUGGGACUGUACCAUCAGAGGAAGGACCGGCUAACUACGUGCCAGCAGCCGCGGUAAUACGUAGGGUCCAAGCGUUGUCCGGAAUUACUGGGUAUAAAGGGUGCACAGGCGGACUUGUGCGUCAGGGGUUAAAGAUCUCGGCUUAAC